UAAAUUAUUUAAAUUAGAAAAGUGGUCAGGGACACACUUAGUUAUUUGUAUUUCCUCAACCUCCGAUGGAUUGAUACUGUGUCGCUAUUUGGCUGCCCCAUAUUGGCGUGGUGCCUUCAAAACAACGACCUACGCUUUUAUUUCGGAUGGUGAUCACUGUGCAGCCACCAAUCUCAUGAUAUUUGCUACGAGAGAGAAGACGAGCUAUGUAGAGGAGCAAAAGUCGCAACUUGUUUAUGAGCCGUUUCAUCCAAAUAAUACCAGAUUCGGGUGGAACAAGCCGGAUAAAUCUGCCCAUAAUGGAAAAUUAUCAUCGAGACAGAUACCCUUUUCGAUUAAAUAAUGGACUUUUUUCCACGACUGUCUUGAUUACGUACGUACAUUCUCACAAAUAAGUAAACAAUACUCGCGAAUUUGGAGUCAUCAUCAUGGUGCAUAAAAGGAGCACAAACAACUUAUGGGAUUUUGCGCUGCCUGUAAUUAUGUACGUAGGUAAAACUGGAUGCAUUAAAUUAAUAUGUGAUGUAUUUAGUGGUCAGUGGUGGGCGAAUAUUUAUAUUGUUCGAGUGGCGAGAUUAAUGUGGACGUGAUGAUGACAGACUGGGGCUGGCUGGCUCAUGGGGAAAAACUUGUUUGAACUUUAUGUGGAUCUUCUUUUUCUAGGUAUUCGCGAAUAGUGCAGAAUUCUCAGGAGAGAUGCACUUUUCUGAUCGUGUGCAGUCAAAGAUCUCCGCAGGUAGAGACAUUAAUCAAAAAAGAUUUUGCAACUCUUUGCCAAAAAAUUGACACUAAUUGAUUAAAGUGCACUACUAAAUAACAACUUUUUGCGUCUAAUUGCAUUAUUGGGAAUGCCAAAUUUCUUGCUUGAUACGCAAAAAGUGCAUAAUAAUGCAGAUAAUUUUACCUUAUUC